rnacentral:rRNA from 1 species
AUUGAACGCUGGCGGCAGGCUUAACACAUGCAAGUCGAGCGAGCGGCGGACGGGUGAGUAAUGUCUGGGAAACUGCCUGAUGGAGGGGGAUAACUACUGGAAACGGUAGCUAAUACCGCAUACCAUCAGAUGUGCCCAGAUGGGAUUAGCUAGUAGGUGGGGUAAUGGGUCACCUAGGCGACGAUCCCUAGCUGGUCUGAGAGGAUGACCAGCCACACUGGAACUGAGACACGGUCCAGACUCCUACGGGAGACAGCAGGGGAGAAUAUUGCACGAGGGGCGAAAGCCUGAUGUGGCCAUGCCGCGUGUGUGAAGAAGGCCUUGGGGUUGUAAAGCAAUUUCAGCGGGGAGGCGUUACUCGCAGAAGAAGCACCGGCUAACUCCGUGCCAGCCGCCGCGGUAAUUC